rnacentral:rRNA from 1 species
ACAACAUGAUCCCUUCGGGGUGAUUGUUGUGGAUCGAGCGGCGGACGGGUGAGUAACACGUGGGUAACCUACCUGCGAGAUCGGGAUAACCCCGGGAAACCGGGGCUAAUACCGAAUAAUCGUUGGAACCGCAUGGUUCCAGCGUAAAAGGCGGCUUUUGCCGUCACUUGCAGAUGGACCCGCGGCGCAUUAGCUAGUUGGUAAGGUAACGGCUUACCAAGGCGACGAUGCGUAGCCGACCUGAGAGGGUGAUCGGCCACACUGGGACUGAGACACGGCCCAGACUCCUACGGGAGGCAGCAGUAGGGAAUCUUCCGCAAUGGACGAAAGUCUGACGGAGCAACGCCGCGUGAACGAUGAAGGUCUUCGGAUCGUAAAGUUCUGUUGUUAGGGAAGAACAAGUGCCAGAGGAAAUGCUGGCGCCUUGACGGUACCUAACCAGAAAGCCACGGCUAACUACGUGCCAGCAGCCGCGGUAAUACGUAGGUGGCAAGCGUUGUCCGGAAUUAUUGGGCGUAAAGCGCGCGCAGGCGGUUCCUUAAGUCUGAUGUGAAAGCCCACAGCUCAACUGUGGAGGGCCAUUGGAAACUGGGGAACUUGAGUACAGAAGAGGAGAGCGGAAUUCCACGUGUAGCGGUGAAAUGCGUAGAUAUGUGGAGGAACACCAGUGGCGAAGGCGGCUCUCUGGUCUGUAACUGACGCUGAGGCGCGAAAGCGUGGGUAGCAAACAGGAUUAGAUACCCUGGUAGUCCACGCCGUAAACGUUGAGUGCUAGGUGUUAGGGGGUUUCCGCCCCUUAGUGCUGAAGUUAACGCAUUAAGCACUCCGCCUGGGGAGUACGGCCGCAAGGCUGAAACUCAAAAGAUUGACGGGGGCCCGCACAAGCGGUGGAGCAUGUGGUUUAAUUCGA